CCAUUUUCACGCUUCUCCACCUUUGUUGUCGUUUCAAAGAUAUGUCGCCUUCAGUUAUAACCGUCAACCACGUCUUUUCAACUGACGCACGUAUCCUUAUUUUCCGGGAUUUCGUCAUCAUUUGUUAUAAAUGCAAUCUUCAGUUGUGCGUCUCGAGGAGUACGUCUUUUCGCUUCCCACCUUUUCGAACUUCAAAUCCCAAAAUCCCACGAUCUUCCCCCAUUCGUUCUCUCUCCUCCUUUCUCUCUAUAAAAACCCCUUUUCACUUUACAUUUUUCACUUUCUUAAAACUUUUGCCCUGAACCUUUUCACCGCAGCUUUCAUUCUCUUCUUUGAACUCCGGUGAACCCUUUCUUCCUCCGGCCGUCGUCAUUGCGCGGUGCUCCCCUAUCGCCGACGUUCUCCUUUCUCAAAUCCACAGUUCUUCCCCUGGUUAGUUUUUCUCUUUCCUGAGAUUCUUUGUUUACUUCUUUUCUCUGACUGUUCAUCUUCUUUCUUCUUGACUCUGUUCAUCUUCUUUUUUCUUGACUCUGUUCAUCUUCUUUUUACUUUUAGUUUGUUCAUCUUCUUUUUUCUUUUUAUGAAACUGCCUCGCAUGUCUUUACCAAACGCCAGCCUUUCUUCCCUAGAACUUUCUUCGCCCUCUACGGAGGAGGAAGUUGUCGCCCCCUCUAUCAUUGAAAUUCAUUCCUCGCCCUCUACCCAUGAUGAUUCCGGUCCCGCCGGCUCUGUAGACUCAAU
rnacentral:lncRNA from 1 species